UUGAGAAUGGAGCUGACUCUGUAUUUCCUAUGGCAAAGUUUUGUACAUUUUAACUUCAGUUCUUGGUCAAAGCACAGAGUAAAAAGCAACACAAGCCUCCUUAACUAGGGUAGCUGAAGAAUGGGCAAGAUCUUUCAAUCUCUAUGUGAAACCACCAUCAACACUGAUUCCACAAAGGAACAAGUCCAUACAGAACUGCUGACUGCGAAAGGAAAUUGCAUAAUGGGAAUGAAGAUAUGUUGAGUGUCAAUAUAAGUUAUUUAUAGGUGAAAUGUCAUCAUUAAAAUAGACAGGAUAUGCUUGCA